ACAAGAUCCCGCAAGAGCCGCCGCCGAUGGCGCCUCGUGCCGGCGCACGUUAGGGAGAGGACGGGGCGGAGGCCGCCGCAUCGUAGCCAGGGAGGUGGAGGCCAGCGUNAAGGGCUCUUCGUCGGCAGGCGUCGGUGCUGGGAGAUCCGGGUAAGUGUCCCCUCCGUCGAUCUCUGAUUCUAGUGGUGGAUUGGCCGGGUUUGAAGGGCAUGGCCCGUAUCUGUGCACAGGACAGAAGAUCCCCCCUGUGUAUUCCAGUUGCCAAUCCAUGUGUGGAGCGACAAAGGCCGGCGGGGCGACGAAGUCCGGCAUUGGAGGUGCCUGGUAGGCAUGGUGGACGGCCGUGGGUGGGUGGCUUGGUCCUCCUGCUGCAGAUCCAUGGUGGUCGUGGUGACCACGACGCCCAUGGCGACCACGGCGACCACGGCGGCCGUUGCCAGAGCCCCAAUGGCGAUGAACUCCAAGAUCCUGGCUUCUUGCAGAUCGACGGAUUUCUCUUCUAAUGAAACGAACGAGGGCGGAGGCGAUUCUGUGCAGGUUCAUCCCUGCCAUCUCACCUUUUCUCUUCGUCUCCGGUGCUCUGUCGGUAGCCUACGUGCUGAUAACGUGUGAAGAAUGUAAUCAAAACUCUGUUUUCCAUUGAUGAAUGAACAUAUAUAUACAUGGGGAACAGUCGCUUCCAAAGGAUGCGACGGUACGAGGAGGCGGUUCCUGGAGGCGUCGCUCCAGGAACGAAGUGUUGGUUCGGUCGUGGAGAUGCCCAGGUGCAGUUACAAGUAGAGAUUAAGUUAACUAAUUACAUUAACUAAUUAAACUCUAAC
rnacentral:lncRNA from 1 species